rnacentral:rRNA from 1 species
GAUGAACGCUGGCGGCGUGUUUAAGGCAUGCAAGUCGAACGAUUCACUUCGGUGAAGAGUGGCAAACGGGAGAGUAACACAUUGGUUACCUACCUCGAGGUCGCGAAUAAUUCGGUGAAAACCGGACUAAUACGCGAUGGUCAUAAAAUGUUAUAAAACUUUUUAUGUAAAGUUCAGGCGCCUCGAGAGGGGCCUAUGUCCUAUCAGCUAGUUGGUGAGGUAAUAGCUCACCAAGGCUACGACGGGUACCGGGCGUGAGAGCGUGGCCCGGCUCACUGGGACUGAGACACUGCCCAGACUCCUACGGGAGGCUGCAGUCGAGAAUCUUCCACAAUGGGCGAAAGCCUGAUGGAGCGACGCCGCGUGCUAGAUGAAGCCCUUUUGGGUGUAAAUAGCUUUUAUAUAGGACGAAUUCGUGACGGUACUAUAUGAAUAAGAGGGUGCUAACUCUGUGCCAGCAGCAGCGGUAAUACAGAGCCCUCAAGCGUUAUCCGGAGUUACUGGGCGUAAAGCGUCCGCAGGUGGUUUUAUGCGUCACUCGUUAAAUCCUAAUGCUCAACAUUGGGGCUGCGAGUGAUACGAUAAGACUAGAGGCCGGGAGAGGUAAGCGGAAUUGCUGGUGUAGCGGUAAAAUGCGUUAAUAUCAGCAAGAACACCAAAUGCGAAGGCAGCUUACUGGAACGCGCCUGACACUCAUGGACGAAAGCGUGGGUAGCGAAUGGGAUUAGAUACCCCAGUAGUCCACGCCGUAAACGAUGGAUACUAGGUAUUGGGAGUUUCGACCCUCUCAGUGCCGUUGAACCAAGCUAACGCGUUAAGUAUCCCGCCUGGGGAGUACGGUCGCAAGACUAAAACUCAAAGGAAUAGACGGGGACCCGCACAAGUAGUGGAUCAUGUGGUUUAAUUCGACGAUAAGCGAUAACCUUACCUGGGUUUGACAUAUAGCUGCAAGGUCCUAAUCAGACCCGC